rnacentral:rRNA from 1 species
UGGGGAAUAUUGCACAAUGGGCGCAAGCCUGAUGCAGCCAUGCCGCGUGUAUGAAGAAGGCCUUCGGGUUGUAAAGUACUUUCAGUCGGGAGGAAGGUGUCAAGGUUAAUAACCUUAUCAAUUGACGUUACCGACAGAAGAAGCACCGGCUAACUCCGUGCCAGCAGCCGCGGUAAUACGGAGGGUGCAAGCGUUAAUCGGAAUUACUGGGCGUAAAGCGCACGCAGGCGGUUGAUUGAGUCAGAUGUGAAAUCCCCGGGCUUAACCCGGGAAUUGCAUCUGAUACUGGUCAGCUAGAGUCUUGUAGAGGGGGGUAGAAUUCCAUGUGUAGCGAUGAAAUGCGUAGAGAUGUGGAGGAAUACCGGUGGCGAAGGCGGCCCCCUGGACAAAGACUGACGCUCAGGUGCGAAAGCGUGGGGAGCAAACAGG